GUGGGGAAUUUUGGACAAUGGGCGCAAGCCUGAUCCAGCAAUGCCGCGUGUGUGAAGAAGGCCUUCGGGUUGUAAAGCACUUUUGUCCGGAAAGAAAUCUCCUGGGUUAAUACCUCGGGGGGAUGACGGUACCGGAAGAAUAAGCACCGGCUAACUACGUGCCAGCAGCCGCGGUAAUACGUAGGGUGCGAGCGUUAAUCAGAAUUACUGGGCGUAAAGCGUGCGCAGGCGGCUCUGCAAGACAGAUGUGAAAGCCCCGGGCUCAACCUGGGAACUGCAUUUGUGACUGCAAGGCUAGAGUGCGUCAGAGGGAGGUGGAAUUCCGCGUGUAGCAGUGAAAUGCGUAGAGAUGCGGAGGAACACCGAUGGCGAAGGCAGCCUCCUGGGAUGACACUGACGCUCAUGCACGAAAGCGUGGGGAGCAAACAGGAUUAGAAACCCUUGUAGUCC
rnacentral:rRNA from 1 species